rnacentral:rRNA from 1 species
UACGGAGGGGGCUAGCGUUGUUCGGAAUCACUGGGCGUAAAGCGCACGUAGGCGGCUUUGCAAGUCAGAGGUGAAAGCCCGGGGCUCAACCCCGGAAUAGCCUUUGAGACUGCAUGGCUUGAACGUCGGAGAGGUGAGUGGAAUUCCGAGUGUAGAGGUGAAAUUCGUAGAUAUUCGGAAGAACACCAGUGGCGAAGGCGGCUCACUGGCCCGAUACUGACGCUGAGGCACGAAAGCGUGGGGAGCAAACAGG